UAGUGAGUUUGAUCCUGGCUCAGGAUGAACGCUGGCGGUCUGCUUAACACAUGCAAGUCGAACGGAACCUUUCGGGGUUUAGUGGCGGACGGGUGAGUAACGCGUGAGAAACUACUUACAGAUUGGGGAUAACAGUGGGAAACCAUUGCUAAUACCCAAUGUGCCGAGAGGUGAAAGCUUUAGUGCCUGAAGAUGAGCUCGCGUCUGAUUAGCUAGUUGGAGAGGUAAAGGCUCACCAAGGCAUCGAUCAGUAGCUGGUCUGAGAGGACGAUCAGCCACACUGGGACUGAGACACGGCCCAGACUCCUACGGGG
rnacentral:rRNA from 1 species